GUUUUAUGAUCUCAUUGUUUCUUGAGCUUGAUGACAGCUUUCAUUCCUGCAAAUGGAAUCUGAAGUC